rnacentral:rRNA from 1 species
UACGGGGGAUGCAAGCGUUAUCCGGAAUGAUUGGGCGUAAAGCGUCUGUAGGUGGUUGGUGAAGUCUACUGUUAAAGAUUAGGGCUUAACCCUAGGAAGGCAGUAGAAACUCACUAGCUAGAGUACGGUAGGGGCAGGGGGAAUUCCCGGUGUAGCGGUGAAAUGCGGAGAUAUCGGGAAGAACACCAAUGGCGAAAGCACUCUGCUGGGCCGACACUGACACUGAGAGACGAAAGCUAGGGGAGCAAACGGG